AGUGAACGCUGGCGGCGUGCCUUAUACAUGCAAGUCGAACGAAGUGGCGCACGGGUGAGUAAUAUAUAGUUAAUCUGCCCUACACAGAGGAACAACAGUUGGAAACGACUGCUAAUACCUCAUAGUGUAGGAUGAGACUAUAUCGUAUCAGCAAGUUGGUAAGGUAAUGGCUUACCAAGGCUAUGACGCGCAACUGGUCUGAGAGGAUGAUCAGGCAGAUUGUAACCGAGACACGGUCCAAGCUCCUUCGGGAGGCAGCAGUAAGGAAUAUUGCGCAAUGGGGGUAACCCUGACACAGCAACGCCUCGUGGAGGAUUACAGUUUUCGGAGCGUAAACACCUUGUAUCAGGAAAGCGGUACCUGAUGAAUAAGCACCGGCUAACUCCGUGCCAGCCGCCGCGGUAAUAC
rnacentral:rRNA from 1 species